rnacentral:rRNA from 1 species
AAAUUGAAGAGUUUGAUCAUGGCUCAGAUUGAACGCUGGCGGCAGGCCUAACACAUGCAAGUCGAGCGGAAACGAGUUAUCUGAACCUUCGGGGGACGAUAACGGCGUCGAGCGGCGGACGGGUGAGUAAUGCCUAGGAAAUUGCCCUGAUGUGGGGGAUAACCAUUGGAAACGAUGGCUAAUACCGCAUGAUGCCUACGGGCCAAAGAGGGGGACCUUCGGGCCUCUCGCGUCAGGAUAUGCCUAGGUGGGAUUAGCUAGUUGGUGAGGUAAGGGCUCACCAAGGCGACGAUCCCUAGCUGGUCUGAGAGGAUGAUCAGCCACACUGGAACUGAGACACGGUCCAGACUCCUACGGGAGGCAGCAGUGGGGAAUAUUGCACAAUGGGCGCAAGCCUGAUGCAGCCAUGCCGCGUGUGUGAAGAAGGCCUUCGGGUUGUAAAGCACUUUCAGUCGUGAGGAAGGCGGUGUAGUUAAUAGCUGCAUCGUUUGACGUUAGCGACAGAAGAAGCACCGGCUAACUCCGUGCCAGCAGCCGCGGUAAUACGGAGGGUGCGAGCGUUAAUCGGAAUUACUGGGCGUAAAGCGCAUGCAGGUGGUUUGUUAAGUCAGAUGUGAAAGCCCGGGGCUCAACCUCGGAAUUGCAUUUGAAACUGGCAGACUAGAGUACUGUAGAGGGGGGUAGAAUUUCAGGUGUAGCGGUGAAAUGCGUAGAGAUCUGAAGGAAUACCGGUGGCGAAGGCGGCCCCCUGGACAGAUACUGACACUCAGA